ACGGGAGGCAGCAGUGGGGGAUAUUGGGCAAUGGGCGCAAGCCUGACCCAGCGACGCCGCGUGAGGGAAGACGGUCUUCGGAUUGUAAACCUCUUUCAGCAGGGAAGAUAAUGACGGUACCUGCAGAAGAAGCCACGGCUAACUACGUGCCAGCAGCCGCGGUAAUACGUAGGUGGCAAGCGUUAUCCGGAAUUACUGGGUGUAAAGGGUGUGUAGGCGGGAAUGCAAGUCAGAUGUGAAAAUCAUGGGCUCAACCCAUGACCUGCGUCUGAAACUGUAUUUCUUGAGAGUGGGAGAGGUAAAUGGAAUUCCUGGUGUAGCGGUGAAAUGCGUAGAUAUCAGGAGGAACACCGGUGGCGAAGGCGAUUUACUGGACCACAACUGACGCUGAGACACGAAAGCGUGGGGAGCAAACAGGAUUAGAUACCCUGGUA
rnacentral:rRNA from 1 species